CGUCGUCGCCUCGCGCCGCCACUUCCACCUUCGCCUCCCUCCGUCCCUGCCGACCGCCGUCUCUGGCCACCAGCGUCCGGAUCUGGCCCCCAUGUGGUCGGGGGACGGGGAUCUGACAUCCCCCGUGCGCCGGGCAGCAUCUCCGCCUCCGUCACCACCGUCGUCGUCGCCGAGCGCCGCCACUUCCGCCACCGCCUCGCCCCGUUGCUGACGAGCCCGCCGCCCCUGCUGCGUGCUUCGCCGCCGUCGCCGACGGUCGGUGCUCCACCCUCCGUUGCGGCUGCCAUCGAAGAAACGGCGGUGGUGACGGAGCCGGCGCCAAGGAAGGCAGUGGUUGCGUCGAGAAGAGGAGGACCAGGAGUAGAGUUGCAGAGUGACGUGGAAGCCGGUGGCACACAGGAGCUAGCCGACGAGCUUGACACCGAGCAGCUUGGGCUGGAGAGCAAGAUUAUGGCCAUCAGGAACUUCUUGGAAGGACCCCGACCAUCCCAACCGCCCCAACGACGUGCUGGUGAAAUAGUGAGCUUACUGCAAAACCGGCUAAACAUGAACAUCACCUUCAAGGAGCUGCAGGACGGUCCUGCUGCGGCUCAACCUCCACUGGGGCCACAUGCUUUGACUGGCCAUCAUCAGCAGGGUCAUCCAGCCUCCUCCGCCGGCGAGGGCGACCAGCCUGUACUGCAGGCUUGGACCGCCGUAGGGGACUGCGGGCGCCAUGGAGGGGCCGUGCUGUCCCUGUGA
rnacentral:lncRNA from 1 species